GCCCGGGGGUGGGCGCGGCGGAGCAGACCCCGCGCAAGAGGCUGCGGUGAGCUAGUUUAGAGCCCAAAGAGCCCCGAGGGAGCCUGUCGGGGCAGCGGACACGUUGAGGGGCGCUGGGCCUCGGCUGGGACCGUUCAUGUAGCAGCGACCGGCGGCGGCUGCCGGAGAGCAGCGUUCGGUUUUGUGUUUAAAGUUUGAAAACUGUGCAAUGUAUGAGUAACGUCUUUUUAUCUCUAAAUGUAUCCCAGCACGAGGAGUACACUGGUCCCAAGGUGUAAAGCUUUAAGAGUCAUUUAUAUAGAAUGUUUAAUCUCUGCUGAAACUCAGUGCAAAAAGAAAAAGCAGCAAAAAAAGAAAAAAAAAGGAAAAAAGGAAAAAAAGAAAAAAAAAGGAAAAAAUAAAAAAAACCAUGUAUAUUUGUACAAAAAGUUUUAAAGUUAUACUAACUUAUAUUUCUAUUUAUGUCCUGGCGUGGGCCGCUCCACCACAGAGAACUUGGUCAUUGGCUAUGCCAAAGUGUGCCCACCAUCAGCACCCGGUCAUCCACAGCUGUAAAUCUCCCACUCGCGGAAUCUGGGGAAGGGGUCACUCACGCUGUAGCUGCGUACAUGCCCAAAUCGCUUGCUGUCUCUUUGCGCUUUCGCUGUCUCUUCUAUUAUUACUGUGUUUAUUUUAAACUUGAAGACAAAUCUGUAAAAAAUGGUUCCUGAGCCGUCUGUACCACUGCCCCGGCCCCUCGUCCGCCGGGUCCUAAAUAAAGAGGCCGAAAUAAUGC